rnacentral:misc_RNA from 1 species
GAAAUGCGAUAAGUAAUGUGAAUUGCAGAAUUCAGUGAAUCAUCGAAUCUUUGAACGCACCUAGCGCUCCUUGGUAUUCCUUGGAGCAUGCCUGUUUGAGUAUCAUGAAAUCUUCAAAGUAAAUCUUUUGUUAACUCAAUUGGUUUCUACUUUGGUAUUGGAGGUCUUUGCAGCUUCACACCUGCUCCUCUUUGUUCAUUAGCUGGAUCUCAGUGUUAUGCUUGGUUCCACUCGGCGUGAUAAGUUAUCUAUCGCUGAGGACACUGUAAAAGGUGGCCAAGGUAAAUGCAGAUGAACCGCUUCUAAUAGUCCAUUGACUUGGACAAUACUUUUAUGAUCUGAUCUCAAAUCAGGUAGGACUACCCGCUGAACUUAAGC